AUUAAAAGCCAUAUAUUCUGAACAAGCCUGAUCCCAUCUGAUCUCGGAAGUUAAGUAGGGUUGGGCCUGGUUAGUACUUGGAUGGGUGACCACCUAGGAAGACCAGGUGUUGUAGGUG
rnacentral:rRNA from 1 species